rfam:Mus musculus chromosome 3, GRC primary reference assembly.
GCUGGGUGGUGGUGGCAAUCACCUUUAAUCCCAGCACCUGGGAGGCAGAGGCAGGUGGAUUUCUGAGUAGAGGCCAGCCUGGUCUACAGAGUGAGUUCCAGGACAGUCAGUGCUAUACAGAGAAACCCUGUCUCAAAAAAACAAAAAAACAAAACAAAACAAAAAAAACAGGGUUUCUCUGUGUAGCCCUGGCUGUCCUGAAACUCGCUCUGUAGACCAGGCUGGCCUCUACUCAGAAAUCCACCUGCCUCUG